rnacentral:rRNA from 1 species
AUUGAACGCUGGCGGCAGGCUUAACACAUGCAAGUCGAGCGGGGUGAUGGUGCUUGCACUAUCACCUAGCGGCGGACGGGUGAGUAAUGCUUAGGAAUCUGCCUAUUAGUGGGGGACAACAUUUCGAAAGGAAUGCUAAUACCGCAUACGUCCUACGGGAGAAAGCAGGGGAUCUUCGGACCUUGCGCUAAUAGAUGAGCCUAAGUCGGAUUAGCUAGUUGGUGGGGUAAAGGCCUACCAAGGCGACGAUCUGUAGCGGGUCUGAGAGGAUGAUCCGCCACACUGGGACUGAGACACGGCCCAGACUCCUACGGGAGGCAGCAGUGGGGAAUAUUGGACAAUGGGCGCAAGCCUGAUCCAGCCAUGCCGCGUGUGUGAAGAAGGCCUUAUGGUUGUAAGGCACUUUAAGCGAGGAGGAGGCUACUUUAGAUAAUACCUAGAGAUAGUGGACGUUACUCGCGGAAUAAGCACCGGCUAACUCUGUGCCAGCCGCCGCAGUAAAAC